ensembl:snRNA U1 U1 spliceosomal RNA
GCAUUUAAGACAGGAGAGAGACGCUCAUCAGGAACAUGGUUUUCUCAGGGUGAGGCUCAUCCAUUGUACUCUGAGUGUGCUAACCUCUGAGAUUUCCCCAAAUUCAGGAAAGUCAACUGCAUAAUUGGGGCAGUGGGGGUUCCAUUGCAUCUUCUU